UCGGUGACCCGAGUCUUACGUGUGAUCCGCUCUUAGACGGGUUCAAGACACGUGUUCGUAAGGCAUUGGCCCCGCGUUUUCGAGUUUACGCGAAGCAUUGACCGAGACCAUUCAUUUUCUUUUGUUCUUCGAUAGCUAGGGUUUCUCUCCUCCGAAAGGCGAUUGAGAGGCGAUUCUCGUGCGACGGCGAGUUCUGAAGCUUUUCACCAUCAAAUCGACGAAGAACGGUUCCCUUCACGAGCUCAGAGAUGGAUCCCGCAGCAGAGAGAAGAGACAUGAAGAGGAACAUUGAGUACAACAACAGUUUGAUCUAUGUGGCGGAUUCAGAGUACGGGAUACCAAGUAGGUGUUACUGUGGUGGGAAAAUGAUAGACGAAGUUCAGGGGAAGGAGGAGAGAGACACUCUUCCGGGGAAGCGCUUCUUCACCUGCAUAAACUACGAGGCUGAUGGGCUCCAUUAUCGUCAGCCUUAGGUGUUUGGUGUCCAGGAGGAGAUCGAGAAGCUGACUGCCCGGCUGGAGAAGGCUGAGAAGGUGAUCAAGGAGGAGUUCACAGGUGGAAAUCUCGCAACCUACGGACUCUCCUUCCAACUUCGUUAAUAGGCAUGGCAUUCAAGCUCAAAU